rnacentral:tRNA from 1 species
AAGGGUGUAGCUCAGUGGUAGAGCACAUGCUUAGCAUGCACGAGGUCCUGGGUUCAAUCCCCAGUACCUCCA